rnacentral:rRNA from 1 species
AGCGAACGCUGGCGGCAGGCCUAACACAUGCAAGUCGAACGGACCCUUCGGGGUUAGUGGCGGACGGGUGAGUAACACGUGGGAACGUGCCUUUAGGUUCGGAAUAGCUCCUGGAAACGGGUGGUAAUGCCGAAUGUGCCCUUCGGGGGAAAGAUUUAUCGCCUUUAGAGCGGCCCGCGUCUGAUUAGCUAGUUGGUGAGGUAACGGCUCACCAAGGCGACGAUCAGUAGCUGGUCUGAGAGGAUGACCAGCCACACUGGGACUGAGACACGGCCCAGACUCCUACGGGAGGCAGCAGUGGGGAAUCUUGCGCAAUGGGCGAAAGCCUGACGCAGCCAUGCCGCGUGAAUGAUGAGGGUCUUAGGAUUGUAAAAUUCUUUCACCGGGGACGAUAAUGACGGUACCCGGAGAAGAAGCCCCGGCUAACUUCGUG